GUUGUUCGGAAUUAUUGGGCGUAAAGAGCUCGUGGGCGGUCUGUUACGUCGGCUGUGAAAACCUGGGGCUCAACUCCGGGCCUGCAGCCGAUACGGGCAGACUAGAGUUCGGCAGGGGAGACUGGAAUUCCUGGUGUAGCGGUGAAAUGCGUAGAUAUCGGGAGGAACACCAGUGGCGAAGGCGACUACCUGGCCUGUUCUUGACGCUGAGGCGCGAAAGCUAGGGGAGCAAACGGG
rnacentral:rRNA from 1 species